rnacentral:rRNA from 1 species
CCUACGGGGGGCAGCAGUGGGGAAUAUUGCACAAUGGGGGGAACCCUGAUGCAGCGACGCCGCGUGAAGGAUGAAGUAUUUCGGUACGUAAACUUCUAUCAGCAGGGAAGAAAAUGACGGUACCUGACUAAGAAGCCCCGGCUAACUACGUGCCAGCAGCCGCGGUAAUACGUAGGGGGCAAGCGUUAUCCGGAUUUACUGGGUGUAAAGGGAGCGUAGACGGGCCAGCAAGUCUGAUGUGAAAACCCGGGGCCCAACCCCGGGAGUGCAUUGGAAACUGCGGGCCUGGAGUGCCGGAGAGGUAAGCGGAAUGCCUAGUGUAGCGGUGAAAUGCAUAGAUAUCACGCAGAACCCCGAUUGCGAAGGCAGCAUACCGGUGCACAACUGACGCUCAGGCACGAAAGCGUGGGUAUCGAACAGGAUUAGAUACCCCUGUAGUC